rnacentral:rRNA from 1 species
GACGAACGCUGGCGGCGUGCCUAAUACAUGCAAGUAGAACGCUGAAGAGAGGAGCUUGCUCUUCUUGGAUGAGUUGCGAACGGGUGAGUAACGCGUAGGUAACCUGCCUUGUAGCGGGGGAUAACUAUUGGAAACGAUAGCUAAUACCGCAUAACAAUGGAUGACACAUGUCAUUUAUUUGAAAGGGGCAAUUGCUCCUCUACAAGAUGGACCUGCGUUGUAUUAGCUAGUAGGUGAGGUAAUGGCUCACCUAGGCGACGAUACAUAGCCGACCUGAGAGGGUGAUCGGCCACACUGGGACUGAGACACGGCCCAGACUCCUACGGGAGGCAGCAGUAGGGAAUCUUCGGCAAUGGGGGCAACCCUGACCGAGCAACGCCGCGUGAGUGAAGAAGGUUUUCGGAUCGUAAAGCUCUGUUGUAAGUCAAGAACGGGUGUGAGAGUGGAAAGUUCACACUGUGACGGUAGCUUACCAGAAAGGGACGGCUAACUACGUG